CUCAGAUUGAACGCUGGCGGCAUGCCUUACACAUGCAAGUCGAACGGUAACAGGUCUUCGGAUGCUGACGAGUGGCGAACGGGUGAGUAAUACAUCGGAACGUGCCCAGACGUGGGGGAUAACGAGGCGAAAGCUUUGCUAAUACCGCAUACGAUCUAAGGAUGAAAGCAGGGGACCGCAAGGCCUUGCGCUCUUUGAGCGGCCGAUGUCAGAUUAGCUAGUUGGUGAGGUAAAAGCUUACCAAGGCGACGAUCUGUAGCGGGUCUGAGAGGAUGAUCCGCCACACUGGAACUGAGACACGGUCCAGACUCCUACGGGAGGCAGCAGUGGGGAAUUUUGGACAAUGGGGGCAACCCUGAUCCAGCCAUGCCGCGUGAGUGAAGAAGGCCUUCGGGUUGUAAAGCUCUUUCGGCCGGGAAGAAAUCGCAUGGGCCAAUACCCUGUGUGGAUGACGGUACCGGAAUAAGAAGCACCGGCUAACUACGUG
rnacentral:rRNA from 1 species